AUUGAACGCUGGCGGCAGGCUUAACACAUGCAAGUCGAGCGGGGGAAGGUAGCUUGCUACCUAACCUAGCGGCGGACGGGUGAGUAAUGCUUAGGAAUCUGCCUAUUAGUGGGGGACAACAUUUCGAAAGGGAUGCUAAUACCGCAUACGCCCUAAGGGGGAAAGCAGGGGAUCUUCGGACCUUGCGCUAAUAGAUGAGCCUAAGUCGGAUUAGCUAGUUGGUGGGGUAAAGGCCUACCAAGGCGACGAUCUGUAGCGGGUCUGAGAGGAUGAUCCGCCACACUGGGACUGAGACACGGCCCAGACUCCUACGGGAGGCAGCAGUGGGGCAUAUUGGACAAUGGGGGGAACCCUGAUCCAGCCAUGCCGCGUGUGUGAAGAAGGCCUUUUGGUUGUAAAGCACUUUAAGCGAGGAGGAGGCUACCGAGAUUAAUACUCUUGGAUAGUGGACGUUACUCGCAGAAUAAGCACCGGCUAACUCUGUGCCAGCCGCCGCCGUAA
rnacentral:rRNA from 1 species